UUGCCAAGUAGGAUAAAGGUUAAGAAAAGUCGAAGUCACGUCCAGACAUAGAUCAAUCAACAACAUCCUAAUAUCGAUGCGGACCAAGUUCGUGUUUGUUAAUCAUGCAUACAUUAGAGAGAGAGAGAGAGAGAGAGAGAGAGAGAGAGAGAGAGAGAGAGAGAGAGAGAGAGAGAGUAGUCAUGCAUUGAAGAUUUUUUGAAGGUAAGAUGUAUACAAAAGGAAGUAGGAGUCGAGUUAGUUAAAUGAGUAAAAGUAAUCGGUCCAAAAGUAUUUCAACUCGCGACGUAUACGUAUACCUGUACCUACCCUAGUGUUAUGUGUGCCGUCGUACGAAAUGGUAUCGUAAAAACAAAGAGUGGUGUUAGUAGAGGUUCUAGUAACGUUCUUAGUCUUGGUAAGCAGAAUGUGCGUUUCCUUUUUCUAGUGGUUAAUGAGACGCGGGCGGUGUUCAACACUCACCUCGAGGAGAUUACCGUCGGGACGAGUGUGAACACUGCGGGUUCUUCCCAAAUGUACGACGUUAGGUACUUGAUGUGUACUUCUACCCUUCACACAAGUGUCACUUGGAAAAGCCCGAUUUCUUCCACUGUAAAAAGAAACCCGGUCUCCAGUGAGGAGUAAAGAAGUUCCCUAGUGGUAGGCUCUAGCUAAAGCCCCUAUGUCGAUUCUAGUAACACGGGCAGGAGCCAGGUCCUCAAGACAAACCGCACCUGUACCGAUGGUCCUUACUCGUCUAGGCUAAAACAUGGUUCCGCUAUGUCGGCCGCUCCAAAGCUUCUCUACAAGUAAGGUACCAAACGUAUCACCUCCUGAUGAAACGCUUUACCUCUGUUUCACCAUGCCAACUAAAUUUCGUACUCGAACCGGUGGAUUAGCACAACUAGCGUUUGUCUACGAACGAACCGUUACUCUAGUUUCCGUUGUUGAACCUUCUUCACAGCUCUGAGGAGGUACUUGAUAAACUUUUGUCGAAGGUGUACUAGUUGAAUAAGAAGGGCGUGGAGGGUUAAGGCGGCGUGGUGGCUGCGCUGCCGCGUACGUUCCGACCCUCUCUAUGAGGUGCUCUAUCAGUCUAGUGCAUCUUCUUAAUCGGGUCAGGCUCAGUACCUGUCGUUACUACUGCUGCUUCCGCUACACAACGUCUCGAAGUAUCUGAGUUUUAUGUCACUACCGGCUAGGUACUGUCUCUCGCUCUAGCAGCCCGAUGAGUAACGGUAGAACAAGCGGCCCGUCGUGUGCUCGAGUUCAUGGUCGUGGACCUGUCCUCGAACUGACGAUUCGUUAGUUUUCAUGUACUGUCGACGGUACCUUCUCGUCUUCUUUUAGUAACUCGUUUUACCUCUUGGGUAUCUGAUGUGGUAGAACAGUUUCUACCUAUGGAACGCAACGACAUAGUUUCUCCGUGACUCCGAAAUAAGAGGCUGCGGUAAUGAUGAAGCAGUACGUGUGUUCUCUAAGCGCCACGUUUGGUCUCUACCGUACCUUAUACUCUAAGGUUUUCCCGUACGAAAUCGUACGAGGUAUCGCCAGUCGUUGUUCAAUGGAAUGUAAAUAUUCUAGGGAUUAUACAUACUGGGUACGGCCAAACCGGGCCCCUCUCUUCUCCUGUUUUGGCCGCCGUUCAAAAGCCUGUAUAGAAAACCACGACCCUCCAUAAGAACGAACCCUGUCCUAAUACGAAAGUACGUUUAGUUCCAGUAUACCUCGAUAAACGACUCCUUGAAACUCGAACUCAACUAGAGAGGAAAGGGGCUCGAUCUCUUACUGUUUUAUAAUGGUCCUGGGUCCCCUUUUCACUGCCAAUGAAUAUCCUCUUCCAGUUAUCAAUUAAUCGUGCGUACGUGCAUUUGAUUGCUCAAACAUUAGUUUGACACACAACCACACAGUAACAAUAUGCGACCAUUAAUUAUGAGACAUAUACCGUUUAUAGACGAUUUUUUAGUUCUUGAUUAUCGUAUAUACACUUUUAUAGAGUGGUAGUCGCACCCACACACUCAUUACACCAGU
rnacentral:rRNA from 1 species